rnacentral:piRNA from 1 species
CGGCAAGGAACACGGGAUGCUC